GAUGAACGCUGGCGGCGUGCCUAAUACAUGCAAGUCGAGCGAACAGACGAGGAGCUUGCUCCUUCGACGUUAGCGGCGGACGGGUGAGUAACACGUAGGUAACCUACCUAUAAGACUGGGAUAACUUCGGGAAACCGGAGCUAAUACCGGAUAAUAUUUCGAACCGCAUGGUUCGAUAGUGAAAGAUGGCUUUGCUAUCACUUAUGGAUGGACCUGCGCCGUAUUAGCUAGUUGGUAAGGUAACGGCUUACCAAGGCAACGAUACGUAGCCGACCUGAGAGGGUGAUCGGCCACACUGGAACUGAGACACGGUCCAGACUCCUACGGGAGGCAGCAGUAGGGAAUCUUCCGCAAAGGGCGAAAGCCUGACGGAGCAACGCCGCGUGAGUGAUGAAGGUCUUCGGAUCGUAAAACUCUGUUAUUAGGGAAGAACAAACGUGUAAGUAACUGUGCACGUCUUGACGGUACCUAAUCAGAAAGCCACGGCUAACUACGUG
rnacentral:rRNA from 1 species